UACGGAGGGGGCUAGCGUUGUUCGGAAUUACUGGGCGUAAAGCGCACGUAGGCGGACUGUUAAGGCGGGGGUGAAAUCCUGGGGCUCAACCUCAGAAUUGCCUCCGAUACUGGCAGUCUCGAGUGCGGGAGAGGUGAGUGGAAUUCCCAGUGUAGAGGUGAAAUUCGUAGAUAUUGGGAAGAACACCAGUGGCGAAGGCGGCUCACUGGCCCGUAACUGACGCUGAGGUGCGAAAGCGUGGGGAGCAAACAGG
rnacentral:rRNA from 1 species